rnacentral:lncRNA from 1 species
UUAGAUGUUUACUUAUUAAAAACACUGGUUCGUGAUGACUAAAUUUCUCAUACAUUUAAGUAAGACAAGCAAUUUAAAUUGAUAUUGCAUGAAAUAAUCAUUUUUGUAUCUUGUGAUAGUCAAGUAUGUGAAGAAUGUUGUUAUGUUCUGUGAUUGCCACCAUCAACAACCUAAAGCAAACAAGUGUGCAAACUUAUCCAGAUCAACAAACCAUCAUAGUCAGCCAUCCAAAUCAACACUCACCUUCAAGACAAAGAACGCAUGGCCGAUAACUGCCUAAAGGAAAAUCAUGAUCAUCGCUUCUUGCUUGCUUUUCUGAUGUUCUUUUUAUUUUCUACACCUUCAGUUUUAAUUUUCUGCAAGGUUGUCUUCUUUGUUUGUUUCCCCUCCAGUGAUGAUUUGCUCCAUUUACAAAGAGUUGUUCAUGCUCUAUAAAUUUAUAUCUCUCUGUUGUCAGAAAAUAUACAAAAACAAAAGCUGUAAAGUGUCCAGCUUGAUUCUCACCUGAAAAAUUCUAAAAACAAAUUCUUUGUUUUUCUUAACUUGGUAUCAGAGUCACUGAAAUGGUAAGAGAAAACAACAAUUCCUCAACCUUCAACCUAACACCUCAAAGAAUUCAAAUACUGCCCGAUAAUGCAAUGGGCUUUGUGUGUACGCUGAGGCUCAACCAUGACAACUUCCUUCUUUGAAAAAACAUGGUUCUCCCAAUUGUUCGUGGGAAUAAACUCGAAGGCUUCAUCACAGGAGCCAAAUCGAGUCCACUUGAAUACACAAAAAAAAGUGAUAGAAGGGAGCUCUGAAGUAGAAAUCACAGUGAACCCCGACUUUGAAGAUUGGUUCGCCCAAGAUCAAAUGCUGCUUGGGUAGCUCUACAAUUCAAUCGAAACCAAUGUAGCUUCAGAACUAAUGGGGUAUCCAAUAUCUAAACUCCUUUGGGAUGCCAUCCGGGACCUAUUCGCAAUUAAAACAAGAGCCAAUGUAAUCUACUACAAAAGAGAAUUUGUCAAAAUGCAAAAAGGAAAUCUAAAGAUGGAAGCAUACUUGAAGGCCACAAGGAACAUAUCAGAUAACCUUGCUUUAACAGGUCAUCCCAUAACUAUGGAAGAUCUCAUAGCACAGGUACUUGCUGGCCUGGACUCCCCAGAAUACUGUGCUAGUAUGCUAAAUGACAAGAAAGAAAGCAUAAGUUGGGUAGAGCUCCAGUUCAGGCAGCUAAAUUAUGAAAGAAAACUUGAACAACUUAACUCUGCAACGAAAAAUCUCAGCCCCGGCCAACCAUCAACAAAUUUCUCCAACAUAAGAAGUAGCAAAAACUGUCAAAACUCCCUUUCCCAACCAACCAACAGAGGAGGGCGUGACAAUAAAUUUAACAGAGGAGACCGCUAUAACCUAAGAAGAUAAGGAAAAAACGACAACAACUCUAAACCGAUUUGUCAAGUAUGUGGCAAAAUCGGGCAUACUGUUGCUCACUGCUAUUACAACUAUGAUAAUAGCUACUUGGGAGCCAUUCUUGAAAAUUCCACAAAGACCCACCAAAACUCAGUUUUCUCUAUCUCCACUAAAGCCAGCUUCGAAGACCUAGUAUGGUAUGUUGACAGCGGUACUAACAACCAUGUGACGGGUGACCCAAACAUUUUGCAAUCCAAAUAAGCAUAUGGAGGA